UACGGGGGGUGCGAGCGUUGUCCGGAAUCACUGGGCGUAAAGGGCGCGUAGGUGGUUUGAUAAGGGUGUGGUGAAAGCCCGGGGCUCAACCCCGGGUCUGCCGUGCCGACUGUCAAACUCGAGGGCUGUAGAGGCAGACGGAAUUCCGGGUGUAGCGGUGGAAUGCGUAGAGAUCCGGAGGAAGACCGGUGGCGAAGGCGGCCUGCUGGGCAGUAGCUGACGCUGAGGCGCGACAGCGUGGGGAGCAAACAGG
rnacentral:rRNA from 1 species